CGGUUCAGCCUGAGGCUCUGGGUCACCUCCCACCCGUGUUUAUUGUACCUUGUUGCUUCGGUGCGCCCGCCUCACGGCCGCCGGGGGGCUUCUGCCCCCGGGUCCGCGCGCACCGGAGACACUAUUGAACUCUGUCUGAAGAUUGCAGUCUGAGCAUAAACUAAAUAAGUUAAAACUUUCAACAACGGAUCUCUUGGUUCCGGCAUCGAUGAAGAACGCAGCGAAAUGCGAUAACUAAUGUGAAUUGCAGAAUUCAGUGAAUCAUCGAGUCUUUGAACGCACAUUGCGCCCCCUGGUAUUCCGGGGGGCAUGCCUGUCCGAGCGUCAUUGCUGCCCUCAAGCACGGCUUGUGUGUUGGGCUCCGUCCCCCCGGGGACGGGUCCGAAAGGCAGCGGCGGCACCGAGUCCGGUCCUCGAGCGUAUGGGGCUUUGUCACCCGCUCUGUAGGCCCGGCCGGCGCCAGCCGACAACCAAUCAUCCUUUUUUCAGGUUGACCUCGGAUCAGGUAGGGAUACCCGCUGAACUUAAGCAUAUCAAA
rnacentral:rRNA from 1 species